CUUCAUCCAUCAAGCGUAUAAAAAUCUCCAUCAGGGAUUUAAUGAUAAUCAGAGCCGAACGCAAAUACGACGUCGUAUUAGCGUACGGUGGGGAUUCGUCUACACAAUCUCAUCCUUUGUCCAAGCUUGGAAGAAGAAAAAACGCAGAGCUGCUACGCCGCCUUGUAAAUUCAGAGGAUAAAACCGCUUCCUCGAGCCAGCGCCGAGUUCGAUUCCUGUUCCCCCAAGGACUCCCUCCAUCUCCCCGAUGUCGAAAAGGAUCCUUUGUAAGUUCUUUGCUCACGGGGCUUGCUUAAAAGGUGACAACUGCGAAUUCUCACAUGACUGGAAGGAUCCUACAAAUAAUGUUUGCACCUUCUACCAGAGAGGUCUCUGCUCUUACGGAAGCCGAUGCAGGUACGAACACGUCAAACUCAAACCUCAUCCAUCUCCUGCUUCAUCUUCCUCCGCUCUGCCUCGAUCAUCUGCUUCAGAAAAGGAUUUGAGCCCACUUCCCUCAUCACCAGCGUGGACUUCGGAUUCCUCAGACAACACCUUCACCUUCAGCUCUUCUACAUCCAAACCACAAGACCAACCCAUCUGCUCAUACGCCGCAGCUGGUGACUGCCCGCGUGGCAACCAAUGCCCCCACAUCCACGGAGACCUUUGCCCAACUUGCGGGAAACGUUGCUUGCAUCCUUUCAGGCCCGAGGAGAGGGAGGAGCACAAGAAAGCGUGCGAGAAAAAGCACAAGCAGCUCGAAGCGCUGAAACUUAGCCAGGAGGUGGAGUGCUGCGUCUGUUUGGAACGUGUACUCUCUAAGCCAACUCCAGCUGAACGCAAGUUUGGGCUGCUCACUGAGUGUGAUCAUGCUUUCUGCAUAGGUUGCAUCAGGAACUGGCGUAGCAGUUCUCCUUCCACCGGUAUGGAUGUCAACAGCACGCUGAGGGCUUGCCCCAUUUGCCGCAAGUUGUCGUAUUUUGUAGUUCCUAGUGUCAUCUGGUUCUCAGCUCCCGAGGAGAAAAAAGAAAUCAUGGACAACUACAGGGACAAACUCAGGUCAAUUGAUUGUAAGCACUUCAAUUUCGGAGAUGGGAAUUGUCCGUUCGGAACAAGUUGCUUCUACAAGCACACUGUGAAGCCAGGGUCAUAUGCAUGGAAAUACCACAGACCACCUCCAAGGCGUCCAAGUCCCUCUGGUUCUAACUUGUCAGACAUGGAUACAUUUUUUAACAUGAUGGGGAGCAUAAUGUCAGAAGGAGAGUAUGAUCCUUUUGGAUUUGAAGAUUCAGACGAUGACGAACUGACUACUACGGAUAUGAUGAUGUUACUGCUGAACUUGGAUAUGGAGUCCGAUGAGGAUAUCUAUUAGCUAGACAUAUUUAAGUUACCGUAAAACAUGCGUUUCAUGAUGGUCGUUUGGAGGAAGUGGUUCUGCGGCAUCUGGAUGCAGAAGAUGGGCAGACUGUGAUAGCAAAAGAUAUAAGGUUGUCUGACUUUCUUGAGGGUAUGCGUAUAUGAAUGAGGACUCUCUUAAGCACAAUAAAAGACAAUGCAAACAUGUUAUAAUGAACACCUCUCUCUCUCUCUCUCUCCCCCAAUUGGUCAUUCAUUACAAUUGACUGAUUUAAGUUGGAAGAUUUUGUCUUGGAUACCAAUGCUUUGUGACCUGGGAUAAGACUUGAAUUAUUUGUACUCAUUUUUUGUAUUUUUAACAAUUGUUACAACUUCAAGUUUACCCCUGGGCGAAAAAAAAAAACUGGUCUGGAUCAUUUGUA